UGAUCCAGUAUUGUUUGUGCGAAAACAUCUCUCAUUGUGUUACUUAGUCUUGGAGUCAGCUUUAUCUACCAUGUUAUCACAAUCAUUACUUCCUUCUUUGUUUGAAGUGGAGAUUGUGAAUGUGGAGGUAGUGGAUGGAGGACUGAUUUGCUCAAGCGGCGUUCUAGUUGAAGAAAUGGGUGAUACAAAUGAAGAUUGCUAUAUAGUGUAUGCCGCAGUCUACGGUGGCUAAUGGCUACUAAGU